rnacentral:lncRNA from 1 species
GCGACUCGUCCUGGGUGUCCCCCGCCUAUCACCCAAUGACGGCUGGAGGUACCAGUAACUCUACUGAGGACUACGCAGGUGGAUGGAUGAAUUUCAGAACUGCUGAAUCAACUAUAAAUGACACAAAAAUGCACAUUUCAUUGAAUGUGAUGAACAAAUCUUCAGAGUUGUUGUAACCUUUAGUUAUUUGCUAGCUUAGCUUGGCUGCUGCUUAGCAGUGUGCUUUCAUCUUAAAGCAGCAUUGUGUCAUAUAGUUAGAAACACAAGCAAAAAUGUGCUGAAACUCUAUGAACUCAGUGCUUUUGUGCUGUUCGUGUAACAACUGGUGCAACACAUUAAGCCUGAAUAUGUUACACAUCUUUAUUUACAAGACAGCUUUCUACGGAUUCUCAGCUUUGGACCAAAAUAACAAGGAACAACACUGGUAUGCUAGUGACAUCACUCAAGUUCACUUCUUAUAGACAAGGAAGAAGAAUAGAAGAAUGAAACGCGCACAUGUACAUGCCAACAAUGAUCCCAAAGAUGAAUUGUGGCGACGCUCCACUAAGUUAAAGAAAUCCCUCGAGGAAAGAAGAAAAGUUAGUAGCAAAAAGGUGAGAUUGGGAGAGACAGAGGGGAGUGAGGUGGAGAGUUGCGGAGAACAUUGCGAGCUGCUAAAGCUGCAAAAUGGUGGAACAGCUGCUCAAGUCUUUUAUGUGGCGGCCCCAGAGAGCAGCUCUGUUGGGUGCUCCUCGCUGCACCGCCACAAUUCACUGAAGAAAAAACCCACGAAGGCUCGGAUUGGGACUGCUGCACUAGAAACUAACCAAACUGCAUUACUGCAGGCGGGGGCUAUCAUGCAUCAAGAGUGA